rnacentral:lncRNA from 1 species
CAUUUGACUCCAAUCAAGAAGGGUGUCUGCCAGUGUUAGUUUCUUUAGCUUUGGUGGAAAUUUAUACCUUUGGGGAAGGCCAGCUAGUUUGCCUUCCGAAGGAGGCAAAGGAAAUACAUCAUUUAAUAGCUUCAAAUUUUCAAGGUAAUCCAAUUUUCCCAGGCUAUCAAACAAACUCGACACACCUUUGGAUUCCAAAAGUUUAGCUAAUUUGCCACGAAUACCCAAUUUCUUUAGGUUUGGAGCUCUGGCAAAUACAUCUUCUGUACAACUUUCAGGUGAGAUUGUAGAAAUUGUUUUUAGGUUAGCAUUUAUCAGGGAAUCAUCUUUACUUUUUCUUGAUUUAGCAAGAGGACCUGGUAAAGAUGUGGACGCGUUUGUUUUUAGAUGCCUCAAUUGAAUCAUCUUCCAUAUAUCUCCUUUGAUUUCAAGGGUUCGUUCUGAAGUCUCAACUAUAAGAGUUUGCAUGUUCCAAAGGCUAGAAAUGGGAGAAGGAAGGAUCUUGAAAUUGCUGGACAGAACAAGAUACCUCAAAUGAACGAGUUGAGCUAGAUCAGUAGGAAAACGAGUGAAAAAAAUGGGUUUAGCAUCUAAAACCCUGAGCAAUUUAAAUGCUCCAGGGAUGGAGGAAGUGUGUUCAGCUUGCAGAAUAAUUUCUUCAGAAGAGAAACACAAGAAAGACCGAACACGUGGACCAAAUGGUUUUGAAGAGAUAUAACUCCAAACACGGGAAUGAAUGCAAAGGCGACGAUACGAUUCCAAGUAAGGAUUGGAAGACGAAUAGGUAACUUGAUCAAACCGUUUAAUUUCUUGGAAGAAGUUUUCCUCUGCAGCUUGAUUCUUGCAGAACACGUGUAGCAUGUCAUGAACAUGGCAUGUUUUAACUUUUCCAUUUGACCUCCGUUCUCCAACCAUGACUAAAUUCCUGUUGACAAGAUCGUCUAAGUACUCCUCUGCAAUAUCCUCCAAGCUCAUUCCCUCCUUUUGUUGUAUGAAUCCUUCAGCGAUCCAGAGACGAACCAAUUUCCACACUGGGAUUUGGCAAUCUUCUGGAAACAUCCCGAAGUAGAGAAAGCAUGCUCUCAAGUAAUAAGGUAAGUGAUUAAAACUCAAAGUUAUAAAACUGUCCAUACGUUUCUCCUGAUCCAUGGCAAUAUACGCAUCCACACUUUGAGCAACCUUUUCCCACCAAUAACUUUCAGUACCUUUUUCCAAUAGAAUUCCUCCAAUCACCACUAGUGCGAGCGGUAGUCCGCCACAUUCUCUGGCUAUAAGCCUUCCAGGUUGUAUCAACUCCUUAGGGCAUUCCUCUGCACCAAGUGCCUUUCUUUGGAGUAAUAUCCAACUUUCAUCAGAAUUUAGAAAACGCAAAUUAUGGGGCUCCCUGUUGGGGUUGGCAUGCACAGCCACUCUCCUGAUACGACUAGUCAGUAAUAUUUUGCUUCGCUUCUUAUUUCUGGGAAAAGCAAUUUUGAGAUCAUUCCAGGCAUCUUCAGUCCAGACAUCAUCCAUGACAAUUAAAUACUUCCCUUUCUCCAGGAAUUCACGAAGUUCCUUAGCUAUUUUUUCAUCAUUCAUCUUAUACAUCUCAUCACUUGGCUUAGCAAAAUGACUCCAAAUAUUGAGAAACACUUCCUUUCUAUUAUAUUCUUGAGAAACAUAAACCCAUGCUCGGUUAUAGAAUUCAUAUUCAAUUUUAGGAUCACGAUAUAUCAUUUUUGCCAGUGUUGUCUUUCCAAGGCCAGGCAUGCCAAUAAUUGAUAUAACUUCGAGUUCAUCAGGUCCUCCCAUGAGUAGAUUAGUAACAGUUUUUGCCUCAUCUUCAAAUCCCACCACAUUGUCUUCCUCUACAAUGGGAGCCUAUAUUAUAGUGAAAAAUGUUUAUUUCAGAAUCACAAAUAAUUAAAGAAUUGAUUUAAGGUUGUUCAUCUAAUUCUACUCAAUAUCUGAAAUAUCUAAAAGAUGAGUUCCUACCUUUUAGCUGGUGUCAUUUGAGAAUUUCAGAAAGUUCUCAGUUAUACAUUUCGGAAAAAUUUUACGCACUAGACUACAAAUAAGUUUCAAUAGUAUGCAAGAUAAUAGCAAGAAAACUCCUGCCUGCAGAACUUGUUAUCUUGGACUUCUACUUCGUACAACAGAAUUCAGAAUCACAUUAAGGAAUAUGAUUCAUGUCCAUACUUAGCGAUGGAGCAUGUAAAAAGAUAAGUUUUAUGUACAUUCAGAAAAAAGAAACUUGGAAAUCCUAACAAUUGUUUGACAUACCAGUUUAGUAAUAAAAAGGAAAGUUUUUUAUGGUGCACCAAUUUUGAAGAAUUAAUUCAAUCUGGAUCUUCAUAUAAAAUUUUGCUCCUUGAGUUCUCAAUGGUAGUACAAUUAUGAAGCCAGGAGAGUAACUAGAUUAAAAAAUGUUUUACCUGUGAAGGAAGCAUUUUUGAGCUCGAAGGAAUGGAGGUCAUUGAUCUGGAGGAUAAACGGAGAGCUUAAAUACAAUGCCUUUGUUGCCUUGCUUCUCAGCCUCAUCUUUCAUCGUUUUCUUAUACUGCUGGAUUUUCCGGGCAGAAGCAGCAGCUGAUUUGGUGGUACAGUACAAGUCAAUUAUCUGGAGGCUUAAAACAUCUGCAAGGCUGACUGGGACUGCUUCGAGGCUAGUGCAGUGUUUAAGAUAAAGACUCCUGAGUCUUGGGAAGUGAUGAGUCAAAGCAUGCCAAUGAACUAAAUCUGUCCUUCCAAUAAACAAGACUUUGAGAGCACGGAAACCUCCAUCCUCCGGCUGCCACCACUCUCCCUUAAAUGCAUUGUCUUUCAACUUUAGGAUCUCAAGGCUUUCCAACAUUCCCAAUGUAGCCAUUUGACUCCAAUCAAGAAGGGUGUCUGCCAGUGUUAGUUUCUUUAGCUUUGGUGGAAAUUUAUACCUUUGGGGAAGGCCAGCUAGUUUGCCUUCCGAAGGAGGCAAAGGAAAUACAUCAUUUAAUAGCUUCAAAUUUUCAAGGUAAUCCAAUUUUCCCAGGCUAUCAAACAAACUCGACACACCUUUGGGUUCCAAAAGUUUAGCUAAUUUGCCACGAAUACCCAAUUUCUUUAGGUUUGGAGCUCUGGCAAAUACAUCUUCUGUACAACUUUCAGGUGAGAUUGUAGAAAUUGUUUUUAGGUUAGCAUUUAUCAGGGAAUCAUCUUUACUUUUUCUUGAUUUAGCAAGAGGACCAUGUAAAAAUGUGG